UUUCUCCAUCUUCCUGUUUCAAUGGGAAACUUUGUAUUACAUACCCUUAGUUUACAUAUAUUAACUCUAUGACCCCGCCUCAAUUUUAACAGAUAUGGUUCUAAGCAAAACUCUUCUUUGAAGUGUAAAUAAAAUUCCCCCCUUGAUGAGUUAUUUAUAUCAGAGAACCAUUUUUGAAUAAACUGGUCCUGGAGACGCUGCCUCACAUUAGUUUUAAUAUAAUUAUAAUCAACUUGCUCCGGAAUAUUAUAUACUUCACAAAAGCCACAGUCAUUAAACACGGAUUUUACAUAGUUAAACCAUUUGAAAUUAUAACCUUCAUGCUCAUGCAUGUACCAAAGUAACUUGUACAGUUUACCCGAUAGUUUUUUAUCGUUUGUUGCAAGCUUGUGCCAAAAACAUACCAUUUUUAACUUGAUCUGCAGUUCAAGUGGAAAUCUUCCAAGUUCUCCAUACACCAUAAAAUUUGGCGUAGAGGAUCGCACCCCCAAAAUGCGCUUACAAAACUGUAGAUGUAAUUUUUCAGUAUUAUUUUUAUUUUCAAACCCCCAUAUUUCCGAGGAAUAGGUCAAAAUAGGAACCACC
rnacentral:lncRNA from 1 species